rnacentral:rRNA from 1 species
AGAACGAACGCUGGCGGCAGGCUUAACACAUGCAAGUCGAGCGCCUCGCAAGAGGAGCGGCAGACGGGUGAGUAACGCGUGGGAACAUACCCUUCGGUUCGGAAUAAUUCAGGGAAACUUGGACUAAUACCGGAUACGGACGAGAGUCGAAAGAUUUAUCGCCGAAGGAUUGGCCCGCGUUCGAUUAGCUAGUUGGUGUGGUAACGGCGCACCAAGGCGACGAUCGAUAGCUGGUCUGAGAGGAUGAUCAGCCACAUUGGGACUGAGACACGGCCCAAACUCCUACGGGAGGCAGCAGUGGGGAAUAUUGGACAAUGGGCGCAAGCCUGAUCCAGCCAUGCCGCGUGAGUGAUGACGGCCUUAGGGUUGUAAAGCUCUUUCGCUAGGGACGAUAAUGACGGUACCUAGACAAGAAGCCCCGGCUAACUUCGCGCCAGCAGCCGC